UACGUAGGGUGCAAGCGUUGUCCGGAAUUAUUGGGCGUAAAGAGCUCGUAGGCGGUCUGUCGCGUCUGCUGUGAAAACUCGGGGCUUAACCCCGGGCCUGCAGUGGAUACGGGCGGACUCGAGUUCGGCAGGGGAGACUGGAAUUCCUGGUGUAGCGGUGAAAUGCGCAGAUAUCAGGAGGAACACCGGUGGCGAAGGCGGGUCUCUGGGCCGAUACUGACGCUGAGGCACGAAAGCGUGGGGAGCAAACAGG
rnacentral:rRNA from 1 species